rnacentral:rRNA from 1 species
UACGGAGGGAGCUAGCGUUGUUCGGAAUUACUGGGCGUAAAGGGCGCGUAGGCGGUGCUCUAAGUCAGGCGUGAAAGCCCUGGGCUCAACCCGGGAAUUGCGCUUGAUACUGGGGCGCUUGAAUCCAGGAGAGGUUGGUGGAAUUCCCAGUGUAGAGGUGAAAUUCGUAGAGAUUGGGAAGAACACCGGUGGCGAAGGCGGCCAACUGGACUGGUAUUGACGCUGAGGCGCGAAAGCGUGGGGAGCAAACAGG